ACCGGCAGCUCGAGUGGUGCCGCUUUUAUUGGGCCUAAAGCGUUCGUAGCCGGUUCAGUAAGUCUUUGGGCAAAUCUUCUCGCUUAACGAAAAGAAUUCCGAAGAUACUGCUGGACUUGGGGCCGAGAGAGGUUAGAGGUACUCCUGGGGUAGGGGUGAAAUCCUAUAAUCCUGGGGGGACCGCCAGUGGCGAAGGCGUCUAACCAGAGCGGACCCGACGGUGAGGGACGAAAGCCAGGGGCGCGAACGGGAUUAGAUGCCCCGGUAGUCCUGGCUGUAAACGCUGCAUGCUAGGUGUUGCAUGCUCUACGGGGGCAUGCAGUGCCGAAGAGAAGUUGAUAAGCGUGCCGCCUGGGAAGUAUUAUCGCAAGGUAGAAACUUAAAGGAAUUGGCGGGGGAGCACCACAAGGGGUGGAGUCUGCGGUUCAAUUGGAUUCAACGCCGGAAAUCUCACCGGAGGCGACGGCAGGAUGAUGGCCAGGUUGAAGAUCUUGCUUGACAAGCCGAGAGGAGGUGCAUGGCCGUCGUCAGCUCGUACCGUGAGGCGUCCUGUUAAGUCAGGCAACGAGCGAGACCCGUGCCCUUAUUUGUCAGCAGAUGCCAUUGGCAUGCUGGACACAGUAAGGGGACCGCUACUGAUAAAGUAGAGGAAGGAGCGGGCGACGGUAGGUCAGUAUGCCCCGAAUCUUCCGGGCUACACGCGGACUACAAUGGCCAGUACAAGGGGCUUCGACUUCGAGAGGAGAAGGAAAUCCCCAAAACUGGCCCUAGUUCAGAUCGUGGGCUGCAACUUGCCCACGUGAAGCCGGAAUCCCUAGUAAUCGCGUGUCAUUAUCGCGCGGUGAAUAUGUCCCUGCUCCUUGCACACACCGCCCGUCAAACCACCCGAGUGAGGUCGAGGCGAGGCUAUGUCGUUUUGGGAUGGUCGAGUC
rnacentral:rRNA from 1 species